rnacentral:rRNA from 1 species
GACGAACGCUGGCGGCGUGCCUAAUACAUGCAAGUCGAACGAAGCUGUUUUAACUGGUGCUUGCACCGACUUAAACAACUGAGUGGCGAACGGGUGAGUAACACGUGGGUAACCUGCACCAAAGCGGGGGAUAACAGUUGGAAACAGAUGCUAAUACCGCAUAACCACAGAAACCACAUGGUUUCUGUGUCAAAGAUGGUUUCGGCUAUCACGUCGGGAUGGACACGCGGCGUAUUAGCUAGUUGGUAAGGUAAUGGCUUACCAAGGCAAUGAUACGUAGCCGAACUGAGAGGUUGAUCGGCCACAUUGGGACUGAGACACGGCCCAAACUCCUACGGGAGGCAGCAGUAGGGAAUCUUCCACAAUGGACGAAAGUCUGAUGGAGCAACGCCGCGUGAGUGAAGAAGGUUUUCGGAUCGUAAAACUCUGUUGUCAGAGAAGAACGUGUGCGAGAGUAACUGCUCGUGCAGUGACGGUAUCUGGCCAGAAAGCCACGGCUAACUACGUGCCAGCCGCCGCGGUAA